rnacentral:lncRNA from 10 species
UUUCACCAUGUUGGCCAGACUGGUCUCGAAUUCCUGCCCCCAGGUGAUCCACCUGCCUCAGCCUCCCAAAGUGCUGGGAUUAUAGGCACGAGCCACUGUGCCCAGCCAACAGGUCGAUAUUUUUGAUUUAAGAUGGCUUAUUCGGCCGUAACUCCAUCGUAAAUCAAGGAACAUCUGCAACUUGAUCCAAGGAUUAGAGGACCGUGGCAUGGUGGUGCACACCUGUAGUCCCAGCUACUCAGGAGGGUCACCUGAGCCUGGGAGGUUGAGGAACAAACACACGGAGUUUCAGAGGCUGGAUUUCUAGAAGUUGGCAUCUCAUAGGAAACCUUGUUUUUCUAUGCCAAUUUUAAACUGUGAGGAAGACUGACAGGACUUCUCAGAUAUGAGACCUAUUU